UUUAAAGCUUCUGACGGUCUGGCCUAGUGCAGCCUGACAGAAAAAUCAUAUAACACGAAGUAGAAAGUGUAGAUAUGAGAUGUAUUCAGUAGGGACGUAAAGAUUAAUCAUUCAAUCGUGAUAAAUCGAUUCAAAGGUGUCAAGAUUCACAUCGGGACUGAAUCGCAAUAUUAUGAUCCUGACUGAUCAGUAAUGUCCUACACUUCCCAUAAUGCAUCAUUUGUCUCUCACAAGACUCCUGAGUCUGUCAACAAAGAUGAUGAUGAUGAUGAUGAUGAAGAUUGGAAAUAUGCAAGCCAAAACUUGGCAGCUGAAAAACGUCUUGCUCUCGAGAUUUCCAUCCUUCAUGUUGAACAUGGUUCCACACAUCGUCUGUUUGGGGCUGAAAGAACGCCACAGCCUCACGGUAAAAAAGGUGACUCACAGCGACACACAGGUUUGGGAGUGUCCCACUUCCCCAUCUUGUUGCACUGAGACGAGUUUCUUCCCAUCAGGAUGAAACCAGGCAGACAGCUGUAGUGCAGCACCGUCUCCUCCACGGGGGGUCCCGGGGGCCAUGAAGACACCCGACCGUUCUCCAAAGACGUCCCCACACGAGGACAUAACAACACUGAGACGGACACACACACAGGAGGGAAUAUUUCAGAUAAGAUUGAACCAGUGUGACAAAGACAAACUGUGGCUUUGAUUAAAAGUAAAACGACUGAUAUGACAGAAAAUUAAAAUCUUCAUCAUAUUCAAAAAUGGUUAAA